rnacentral:rRNA from 1 species
GAUGAACGCUGGCGGCGUGCCUAAUACAUGCAAGUCGAGCGAACGGACGAGAAGCUUGCUUCUCUGAUGUUAGCGGCGGACGGGUGAGUAACACGUGGAUAACCUACCUAUAAGACUGGGAUAACUUCGGGAAACCGGAGCUAAUACCGGAUAAUAUUUUGAACCGCAUGGUUCAAAAGUGAAAGACGGUCUUGCUGUCACUUAUAGAUGGAUCCGCGCUGCAUUAGCUAGUUGGUAAGGUAACGGCUUACCAAGGCAACGAUGCAUAGCCGACCUGAGAGGGUGAUCGGCCACACUGGAACUGAGACACGGUCCAGACUCCUACGGGAGGCAGCAGUAGGGAAUCUUCCGCAAUGGGCGAAAGCCUGACGGAGCAACGCCGCGUGAGUGAUGAAGGUCUUCGGAUCGUAAAACUCUGUUAUUAGGGAAGAACAUAUGUGUAAGUAACUGUGCACAUCUUGACGGUACCUAAUCAGAAAGCCACGGCUUACUACGUGCCAGCAGCCGCGGUAAUACGUAGGUGGGCAGCGUUAUCCAGAAAUAUUGGGCGUAAAGCGCGCGUAGGCGGUUUUUUAAGUCUGAUGUGAAAGCCCACGGCUCAUUCGUGGAGGGUCAUUGGAAACUGGAAAACUUGAGUGCAGAAGAGGAAAGUGGAAUUCCAUGUGUAGCGGUGAAAUGCGCAGAGAUAUGGAGGAACACCAGUGGCGAAGGCGACUUUCUGGUCUGUAACUGACGCUGAUGUGCGAAAGCGUGGGGAUCAAACAGGAUUAGAUACCCUGGUAGUCCACGCCGUAAACGAUGAGUGCUAAGUGUUAGGGGGUUUCCGCCCCUUAGUGCUGCAGCUAACGCAUUAAGCACUCCGCCUGGGGAGUACGACCGCAAGGUUGAAACUCAAAGGAAUUGACGGGGACCCGCACAAGCGGUGGAGCAUGUGGUUUAAUUCGAAGCAACGCGAAGAACCUUACCAAAUCUUGACAUCCUUUGACAACUCUAGAGAUAGAGCCUUCCCCUUCGGGGGACAAAGUGACAGGUGGUGCAUGGUUGUCGUCAGCUCGUGUCGUGAGAUGUUGGGCUAAGUCCCGCAACGAGCGCAACCCUUAAGCUUAGUUGCCAUCAUUAAGUUGGGCACUCUAAGUUGACUGCCGGUGACAAACCGGAGGAAGGUGGGGAUGACGUCAAAUCAUCAUGCCCCUUAUGAUUUGGGCUACACACGUGCUACAAUGGACAAUACAAAGGGCAGCGAAACCGCGAGGUCAAGCAAAUCCCAUAAAGUUGUUCUCAGUUCGGAUUGUAGUCUGCAACUCGACUACAUGAAGCUGGAAUCGCUAGUAAUCGUAGAUCAGCAUGCUACGGUGAAUACGUUCCCGGGUCU